GCGAUAUAUACAGUGAUCGCCAUCACCAGUGGUUCCUGCCUUGCUUUCCUUGCGGUAGUAUCUUCUGUAGCAGCUUGCGUCAAUCGUUGCUGUCUCCAAAAUGGAAAAGGAGAAUAUGGUCUCAGAGGUGAGGUGACAGAACGUGAUGACCAAGCUUCAUAUUAUUCAACGAUCAACGAGGACGAAAUUACUAAUGCAUAUGAGCGACCACUCAGAAAGCAUACACCAAUGUACCUGCAACUAGUACUAGCAGAGGAU